UGAGGAAUAUUGCGCAAUGGGGGCAACCCUGACGCAGCGACGCCGCGUGAGUGAGGAAGGCCUUCGGGUCGUAAAGCUCUGUCAAAGGGAAAGAAGUGUGCAAUGGCUAAUACCUGUUGCAUUUGACGGUACCUUUAGAGGAAGCACCGGCUAACUCCGUGCCAGCAGCCGCGGUAAUACGGAGGGUGCAAGCGUUAUUCGGAAUUACUGGGCGUAAAGCGCACGUAGGCGGUCCUGCAAGUCAGGCGUGAAAUCCCUUGGCUCAACCCAGGAAGUGCAUUUGAAACUGUUUGGCUUGAGUAAGGGAGAGGAAAGUGGAAUUCCUGGUGUAGAGGUGAAAUUCGUAGAUAUCAGGAGGAACACCGGUGGCGAAGGCGACUUUCUGGCCCUAUACUGACGCUGAGACGCGAAAGCGUGGGUAGCAAACA
rnacentral:rRNA from 1 species